ensembl:lncRNA
GACAAAGACUACAUUUCAAGGUCUUUAAUGGGUUGUAGUAGGAUGUAUAUCGUAGGACAUAUUAGUUCAGCUAUAACGAAUGAACUACUUUUUUUUUUUUUAAUUUCUGAAAUGUAGUUUAAUUUAUAAAAAGACAGAAAUAUUCAGAUCUGUUGAGUUUUUAGGAAGAAAGGUCUGGUCAGCUAUCUGAAUAUCUGAAUAGUAUUUGAAAAAUUUGGUAUUUGAAAAAUUUCAGUUUAUAUGCUUGGGGUGAGAUGCUAAAGAUACCUAUUACACAUUCAUGCAGGUAUCUUCAUCUUCUCCAGAUCAUUCAUGCUAGUGAAGAAAUCUUCUGUAAAACUUUCCACUCCUUUCUGCUUGUCUGUGAGUAUGCUGGUAAACCAACAUACUGGGAUCAACUAUAAAACCUAUGCUUCUGAUAAUGUCAAGGAGGCUAGCUCAUCAGCACUGUGAGUGACAAAAUGUGCAACUUCUUCAAGGUGGUUAUACAUGUACUGUUGUCCUGCAAUGUGAAAGACUUUACAAAAUCUAAAGACUAUAAAAAUACAAUAUGACUUUGUAUGGGACUAAGGAAAAAAAAAAUCAUUUCAACCACUGUGUGUGUUUUAUGCCUGAUGUCAAGAAACUGGAAAGAAAUACAUAGAAUUGCUCAUCUGUAAAAAGUAAUACCCUGAGGAGGACCAGCAAUAAAAGUUCAAUGAAUUCAUUAUGUGAUGCAAGUUAACCUGUUGAUAAAUACAAUUUAUAAAUAAAC